UACGUAGGGCGCAAGCGUUAUCCGGAAUUAUUGGCGUAAAGAGCUCGUAGGCGGUUUGUCGCGUCUGCUGUGAAAACUGGAGGCUCAACCUCCAGCCUGCAGUGGGUACGGGCAGACUAGAGUGCGGUAGGGGAGAUUGGAAUUCCUGGUGUAGCGGUGGAAUGCGCAGAUAUCAGGAGGAACACCGAUGGCGAAGGCAGAUCUCUGGGCCGUAACUGACGCUGAGGAGCGAAAGCGUGGGGAGCGAACAGG
rnacentral:rRNA from 1 species